UACGGAGGGUGCAAGCGUUAUCCGGAUUCACUGGGUUUAAAGGGUGCGUAGGUGGGUCUGUAAGUCAGUGAUGAAAUCUCCGGGCUUAACCCGGAAACUGCCAUUGAUACUAUAGGUCUUGAAUUUUCUGGAGGUGAGCGGAAUAUGUCAUGUAGCGGUGAAAUGCUUAGAUAUGACAUAGAACACCAAUUGCGAAGGCAGCUCGCUACAGGAAUAUUGACACUGAGGCACGAAAGCGUGGGGAUCAAACAGG
rnacentral:rRNA from 1 species